AAGCCUGUACUUUCAGGGAUCCCUUCUAUGGCCCAUGACUAGAGAAGUUUCUCUGCCUGGGUAGAGUGUGGGAAACCGCAGAAGGAAUUGUAGCGCUCUCUCCUGAGCGUGAAGCCAGCUUAUUCUGAUACCUUCAACCUUGAAGAUCAUUCCUCUCUUCUUCCUAGAAGAGCAACAGGGAGAGAAUGCAGUCGGUGUGGA
rnacentral:snoRNA from 1 species